rnacentral:lncRNA from 11 species
CUUUCUUGUCUGUCUGUGUUGAUAGUGGGACCGGAAAGACCCUGGUGGGCCUGAUGCCUUGAGAGAUGGGGCUGGAGCUGGGCCCGCUGCUCUCGUCCUUCGCCUUCUUCUUCUUCCUCGGGGGUCUGCCUUGGCUCUGCCCCUCGGCCCAGGAGACGGUCCCGGUGAUGCAGAACCUGGACGCCGCGAAGCUUGCAGGGAAAUGGUACCCCAUCGUCUCGGCCAAGAGCGAAUCCAUGCCGAGGCCAUUCUAUGCGUUUACGCUUGAAACUCAGCAAAACGGAGGGGCCCUCCUCAAAGUGGAAAUCCCAGGGUGAGUUACUGUAUAUACAGUGUUCCCCCACUACUUCGCAGUUAACUUUUCGCGGAUUCGC